rnacentral:ncRNA from 1 species
UAAGCGUACACGGUGGAUGCCUAGGCAGUCAGAGGCGAUGAAGGGCGUGCUAAUCUGCGAAAAGCGUCGGUAAGGUGAUAUGAACCGUUAUAACCGGCGAUACCCGAAUGGGGAAACCCAGUGUGUUUCGACACAUUAUCAUGUCAUGAAUACAUAGUGGCAUGAGGCGAACCGGGGGAACUGAAACAUCUAAGUACCCC